GUAGAUUAUAUUAACCAAAUUUGCCAGCACGGACUGUAUACACCUAUAUGACCAUGGUCUUGCCAACAGUAACGAGUUCGACAAGCAGCUGCACAGAAACGAGGACAAGUGGUAAGAAAUCAAAUUGCCUUGGAAAGGAAACAAUCCCCCUCUUCCCACCAUUGAAGCUGGGAGCAAGUGACGGCUAAAACAUGUGACAAGAAAAUUGGAGCAAAUUGACCAGUAGGAAAAGUAUGACGAGACCAUCCAAGAACAAUUGCAGCUCGGAAUUAUCGAAGCCGCACUAGAUAAGCUUAGGAAGUAACUAUGCAGGAAAGGAUGCUUCGGCGAGAGAAAGCAACAGCCACCUCUCAGGGGCCAGUUGUAUAAAAAAGGUGAUUAAAGUUAACUAUGAUUAAGUGGAAACGUCAUCCAAUAAGAAGCGCCUAUGUGAGAGUUAAUCACUAUUUAACUACGAAAUAGUGAUUAAAAAAAUGAUAGAGUUUUAUACAACCGGCCCCUGAACGCUAAUUGUCUUCAUACAGGGCCCCAAUACAAAACAAUCUGGUACAAAAACAGAACCCGAAGAAACAACCAACCCCAAAAGCAAAGGUUGGAUGAGAUGCACAACUAGAAAGAAAGCGUCGCUCUGAUAAGGAAUUGUCAAGUUUAAUUUCGCUUCGCAAUUUUUGACUUGGCCCAAACUAAGGCCACAUAAAAUAAAUUCCUUGAUUCUCAUCACUACACUUUGAAAAUGUCGAAGAGCCGG